rnacentral:rRNA from 1 species
CGGUAAUUCCAGCUCCAAUAGCGUAUAUUAAAGUUGUUGCGGUUAAAAAGCUCGUAGUUGGAUUUCUGCUGGGGACAACUGGUCUGCCUACUGGGUAAGUAUUUGUGUGUCUCAAGCAUGUUCUUGGACGACACUUCUGCACUUGACUGUGUGGUGUGAUCUCCAAGGUUGUUACUUUGAGGAAAUCAGAGUGCUUCCAGCAGGCAAAUGUUUUGAAUACAUUAGCAUGGAAUAAUAAGAUGAGACUUCGGUUUUAUUUUGUUGGUUUUUAAAAGUGAAGUAAUGAUUGACAGGGAUAGUUAGGGGCAUUUGUAUUCAACUGUCAGAGGUGAAAUUCUUGGAUUUGUUAAAGACAAACAACUGCGAAAGCAUUUGCCAAGGAUGUUUUUUUGAUCAAGAACGAAAGUUAGGGGAUCGAAGACGAUCAGAUACCGUCCUAGUCUUAACUAUAAACUAUGCCAACCAGAGAUUGGAGGUUGUUAUGUGUACGACUCCUUCAGCACCUUAUGAGAAAUCAAAGUCUUUGGGUUCCGGGGGGAGUAUGGUCGCAAGGCUGAAAUUUAAAGGAAUUGACGGAAGGGCACCACCAGGAGUGGAGCCUGCGGCUUAAUUUGACUCAACACGGGGAAACUUACCAGGUCCAGACAUAGUAAGGAUUGACGGAUUGAUAGCUCUUUCCUGAUUCUAUGGGUGGUGGUGCAAGGCCGUUCUUAGUUGGUGGAGUGAUUUGUCUGGUUAAUUCCGUUAACGAACGAGACCUUAACUUGCUAAAUAGUUACAUGUAACUCUGGUUAUGUGGGCAACUUCUUAGAGGGACUUUGUGUGUCUAACACAAGGAAGUUUGAGGCAAUAACAGGUCUGUGAUGCCCUUAGAUGUUCUGGGCUGCACGCGCGCUACACUGAUGUGCUCAACAAGCAUUUACUUUGCUUGGAAAGGCAGGGCAAUCUUUAAACAUGCGUCGUGAUGGGGAUUGAUUAUUGCAAUUAUUAAUCUUGAACGAGGAAUUCCUAGUAAACUCGAGUCAUCAGCUCGUGUUGAUUACGUCCCUGCUCCUUGUACACACCGCCC